rnacentral:rRNA from 1 species
GUGACCGUAAACGAUGCCAACCAGCGAUUCGGCGAUGUUCUUUUUGUGACUCGCUGAGCAGCUUCCGGGAAACCAAAGUGUUUCGGUUCCGGGGGAAGUAUGGUUGCAAAGCUGAAACUUAAAGGAAUUGACGGAAGGGCACCACCAGGAGUGGAGCAUGCGGCUUAAUUUGACUCAACACGGGAAAACUCACCCGUCCCGAACACUGCGAGGAUUGACAGAUCAAGAGCUCUUUCUUGAUUCAGUGGGUAGUGGUGCAUGGCCGUUCUUAGUUGGUGGAGCGAUUUGUCUGGCUAAUUCCGAUAACGAACGAGACUCUGGCCUACUAACUAGGGCCGGUAUUCACGUCUCCCGCGCGACGCCGCGCUGCGCUGCGGCUGAGCACAGUCGUCGCCGUUUGCGCGAGCGCUCCGCGGAGCACCUGCAGUGCCGGCAGCCGCUUCUUAGAGGGACCAGCGACACUUUCGCAAGCCGCACGAGAAAGAGCAAUAACAGGUCUGUGAUGCCCUUAGAUGUACGGGGCUGCACGCGUGCUACACUGACGGCGUCAGCGUGCGUUCAAGCCCGGCCUGGCAAGGCCAGGAAAUCGGUUGAAACGUUCUCGUGACUGGGACAGGGAAUUGCAAUUAUUUCCCUCGAACGAGGAAUUCCCAGUAAGCGCGAGUCAUCAGCUUGCGU